ACCAGAGCUCUCGGAGAUCAACAAAGGUGCCGCUUUUGAAUGUGAAAGUUUUUUCAAGACUUUUCUAUUUCUUGGUUUGAAUCGUGUGCCUGUAGGGACACAUGCUACCUGCUUACUGGACAGUGACUACUUAGGAUAAGGACUCAGACACACAAGUGGAGAAGAUAAAUAGUAAUUUGGAACCAAAACUCAGGACGUCCCAGGAGAGGCUAGAUUAGGAAUUCUUUGAUUUGGGAUCACGAAAAUGAAGUAUCCAUAUUUUAACAGAAUGAUUAGUGGCAGAGGAAUCAUCUAAGAAAACUGAGAAGACUCUGCCAGAGUGAUGGGAAGAAAACUAGAUGAGAAAGCACCAUUCUGGAAGACAUGCUCCCAUGAACCAUGGAGAGAAGAGGAGAGGGAAGAAGUUAUUUGUGAUGUCAUUUGCCUGUGUCAUGGCCUGCCUUCCCUAGAUAUUGUCCUAAUGUGAGCAUCACACCUAAGGUACUGAAGUAGAGUUCUGGCUGUUCCUUACGGACAUCUCUGGUGGACCUCCAUCUGUUUUUGAUACAAGUCAGUCUUUUCCUGGACUUUUGGUAUCAUAUGGACAAUGUCAGUCAUUUGGCUGAAAAGUUCAACUUGAGCAGUUUUAACAUCUUGGAGCACUACUGGAAGAUUCAUUUUUCCGUCAUAACUAUCAUCAUCUUGAUUACAAUCAUCAGAUGUCACAGUGGGAUAUCCAGUUGAAUCUUGGUGCCGAAUCUUACAUUUGUGGUAAACAUUUUUAAGAGACUGUCUGACCUUGGAGAGAUUUGAAGUCCACAUCUGCCUAGCAGCAGCUUUUACCCUUUUGGUGUGAAGUGUGUACAUCUUUCAUGGUGAAACAAGAGGCAAGGUGUUGGAAAACAGAAUCACAGGAAGAAAUAAUGUACAAAUGAAAUGGUCCUUCUCUUACUAUUUGUUGGAUGCCUUUCCUGAUAACAUCUUAGAACACUCUGGAAAUCAUCAGCCACAGCAAUAGACACUGUUAGGUGAUUAGCUUCUUAUAGAGCAGCCCAACCAGAGAGCUCUGUGAAAUAAUAGUCAACUGCAUGGAAUCUUUCAUAUGGUAAUCAUUGACCUGCUGCUGAUGUCACAAUGACUGCUGGCUUAGAACAAACAUAUUUAACUACAGCAGUUCUCAAAAGUUUUGGUCAUAGGGCUCUUUUUGAAUCAUAGAAAUUGUUGAGCAGCCUGAGGAACACAGAAAAACACCUGUUGCUACAAAAAAAUAAAAAAAUUAGCCAGCCAUGGUGGUGCAUGCCUGUAGCCUCAGCUACUUGGGAGGCUGAGGUGGGAGGAUCACUUGAGCACAGGGGGUGGAGACUGUAGUAUGCCAUGAUGGUACCACUGCACUCCAGCCUGGGCGACAGUACAAGACUCUGUCUCAAAAUGAAUAAAUAAAUAAAUAAAUAAAUAAAAAUAAAAAUGAAAAAUUAUUGAGGAUCACACAGAUUUUGUUUAUUUGGGUUAUAUCUACCUACAUUUUAUAGUAGACAUUAAAACUAAGAAAGUCUUAGAUAAUUAGUUAUUAAUUUAAAUUUAAAAACCCAUUACAUGUUAACAUAAGUGAUAUAUUUUCAUAAAAAAUAAUUUGGUUUUCUAAAAAAAAAGUGAGAAGAGUGGCAUUGUUUUACAUAUCUGCAAGUGUUUUAAAUACCUGAAUUAAUAGAAGAUAACUAGAUUCUCAUAUCUGCUUCUGCAUUAUAUCUGUUGUGAUAUAUUAUUUUGAAGUAUAUGAAGAAAAAAUAGCCUCAUGGAGUUACGUAAAUGGAAAGGGGAGAGUAUUUUCAUAGCUUUUUCAGAUAAUUGAGGAUAUCAUUCUUUGCUACUUUAUGAAAAUUUGACAAAUGAUUUUUUUUAAGAAGUUAGCUGCAAUGUGUCAUUUUAGGCCAAAUCAAAGAAGUUUCAUACUCUGUUAUAUUAAUAGCCGCUGGUCUAUUUUUUAUUUUGAAUAGAUGCAUAAUAUCAUGUAUUGGUCAUUUGGCAAACAAUGGUUCACUGAAUUAUGUAGGUCUUCCAAAUGUCAACUCAUUGUAUUAUAUAAUAUCAAAAUAUCAUUUUCAUUAAUAUCUCCACCAAUCUCACCAGAAAAGUCUUUGAGUACUGAGAAGAGGCCAAGCUCAUGGUAGCAAAUGCAGAUUUUUCAAAAUUCUAAUUUUAGCUUGAAAAUCUUGAAAUUUAUCAAGCUGGUUUAUUGUUUUCCUUGAAGUGACAGAUUCCCUCCAUCCAUUUUUUGCAAAAAUGCUUGCCAAAUGCCCAACUAUGAACACUGUAGUUUGUUGUCAGUUUUUUUCAAGAAAAAAUAGUGUUCCAUGAAAAAAGCACACAUUUGUAAUUCAAAUACUUAUGUACGUUUCCUCAUGAAAACCAGUAUACUUUGUUAAGCUGCAGAAGCACUUAUGUUUACUUCCCAUUAUAUCAUACAUAAUAUAAAAAAGAUGUACUGAAGGGUUGAGAUCUAAUAAGAUUAAAAAUUCUUACUGCUUCAUUGAGGACAUUCUUGAGUGAAACUGGUUUUUCUUGUAUUUUUUUCCUUUUCUGAUUGAGUCACUGUUAGUCAGUGUGGUACCCCUGCUGUAGUUCAUGCUAAGGUAUCAACAGUUUUACCCACCAUUGCUUUUGCAAUGUAAUUUUCAACAGGCAAAUGUAAGCACAGUGGAAGAGACAAACGGUGUCCUGGGAUUAUUUUGAAAUAUUGUUGCCCUCAUUGUCACACUUACAGAGUGGUCUCAUGACACAAAGCAUUCCACACUUUGAGAGCCACUGCCUUAGAAUUUAAAAAUAACAGCAGCCAUUUCUCAUGUUCCUUCUUAUAGGUUUUUCUACAUAACAGUAUUUGAAAUUCAAACCCUUUGAAAUAUUAAAUAAUAUUUGGCCCAUUUUAUAUAUUGAGGUAAAAACUUAAUUUUAUUCUCUAAACACAUUAGACUGAACACUCUGGAAUCAAAAUGACGUGUUACUCACAUGUCUCUCAAGGAGCAGUCCCAUUCUACUCAAAAGGACAUUCCCUCUUGGAUCCAUGCCAAUUCCAACCUUCUACCAAAUCACUGUUUCUUCUAUCUGUGCCCAAUUGGAGGGUCAGUGUUGGCCCAGGAUUUGGUACAAACAGUGAGCUUUUCCAGCAGUAAUUUUAAAAUUUUGGCUCAUCAAUAAUAUCUGGGAUUUUGCCUUACUCUCCUAUCUUUCAAAUGCUGUUUAGUAACCUUUCGAAAAUGUCUAGAAACCUUUCCAAACACUUGCUGAGGAAAAUAUUCUCCAAGAGGCAGACUAUCACAGGAAUGGCAUUUGGGGCUUGGAAAGGUUAGAGUUCACAGCCGUCCCGUUUACUCUGGCUAAGGCCAUUUUAUCCGUCGAGUUCUGCAGACACAGUACUUAGGGCCCAUACAGUUUUUAAGGGCCAAUGAAAAUACUUAAGAACAGAAGAAAAAAAAAACAGUGGCUCAGAAUACUGAAAGAAAGCUGCAAGAUUGAAGCAAUAAAUGUUUAAUGAAACGUCUCUGAAAUGUACUAUGUCAUAUUCAUUAAUUGUUAGAUUUAGUAUUAUUAAAAUUUCAUUACAUUUGGAGGCAAUUUGUG
rnacentral:lncRNA from 1 species